rnacentral:lncRNA from 1 species
CCCACCUCAUACACGAUUACUUCAACUACAUAAACACAACCCACCUCAUACACGAUUACUUCAACUACAUAAACACAACCCUCCUCAUACACGAUUACUUCAACUACAUAAACACAACCCACCUCAUACACGAUUACUUCAACUACAUAAACACAACCCUCCUCAUACACGAUUACUUCAACUACAUAACACAACCCUCCUCAUACACGAUUACUUCAACUACAUAAACACAACCCACCUCAUACCCGAUUACUUCAACUACAUAAACACAACCCACCUCAUACACGAUUACUUCAACUACAUAAACACAACCCACCUCAUACACGAUUACUUCAAAUGUCAUCAUGGUUUGAUUGGCAAGGAGGACUACAGAGGAAACCAAUCUGUAUCCAUUCAAAAUGUGGAUUACAAAAAGUUGCAGGCACUUCCGACAUCCCCUAAGACUUACGUACUUUUGUAACAUCCUUAAACGUAUCAUUAAAAAGUUUGAUCGGGGUUGUAAGUAUUCAAGUAAAUAUCCUUGGGAAACUGAUGAUGAUCAAUGUGGAAUGUAAAAAAAAAAAUGCAAGUACAAAAAGUACAAUCAACCUUCAUUUGCAGGAGAAAAGUGAAAGUGGAAAACAUUGCACUUAGCUAAAUCUCAGCAGAACACUUGCAUAAAUAUGCUGCAUAAUCAGCCAGAAUAAGAAAACACCUGUCGUCCUUCCAAGCUACUACUUUCCAUCACCAUUAAUCAAUACAUUUUCCCUACUUCUCCUUCAUAUUUAACAAUCACCAGCUGUUUCUCUUGUCAGUAUUCUCAGAAUGUUUUGAGUCUUUCAUACGCUUGGCCUGCCUGAGGAACUGGUCUGCUUUCCUCAGCUUCUCCAUGGCUCUGGCUAGCAGCUCCUCCGGCGACCUGUCCUCCAGGCCAUCACCCCCCGCUAGGGCCAAGUUCUGCCCAACCUCGGUGCUCCCUUUAGGGACGACGCUCCCCAGGAGCUCCCCUGUAUUUUCCAGCUCCAGGGCCACUUCAUUUUCAAGGUCUGUUAAGUCUUGAGGACCCACGGUGGCCUUUGUCACGGCCACGUCUGUGAUUCGCUGUUUCACGUUUUCACCCAAUGAGGCCUCAGAGAGGAGAUCCCCCAAAGAGGUGGACAUGAGCUUGGCUAAGGGUUUGAAGGGGAUGGGGGGACAAUGGGAGGCCUGACUGACCCUCACCUGGAGGAAGGUGGAGUGUAGGCCAGAGGGAUUGUCCUGGGGGGUCUGGGUCGUAGAAGGGGAGUCCUCCACAGUGCUGAGUCCCAAGCUGUCGGGGGUCUCCGUGUCUCCGUCUUGACUCUCGUCCAUCAGCGCGUCCAGGCCAGCUUGGCUGCCCAUUAGGGCAGCGGUGGAGGCCGCCAAAGUGUCCCUGCUCUCUGACCAUUCUUCAUCGACAUCGAUGUCCGAGUGUUGGCCGCUGUCGACUGACUUCUCCUCCUCACGCUCACUCUUCUUUUCUGGGGAGAGGUGGCAGGACACGGGGCUGGAGCAGGAGCUGUCUGGCUCAGGGUCACUCAGAGAGAGAACUACGACUGGGAACUCAGACUUAGUCUCAACGACCACAGGAACUUUCAGGGCCUCUGUUUCUUCAGUCGGACUGGUUGUGGUCAGCGCGGCUGGUGUUGGUGAAGUGAUAGAGUUGAGUUUCUCUCCUGGUGUGGUGGUGGUGAUGUUCUUGGUUUUGUCUGUCGCUUGGUUCUUAGGCUCGCUUAGGUGGACGUCUUGAGCCACCACCACUGCUUUGGGAGGAGGGAGGACGACGGGCUUCUUCUUUGUGGGAGGUCCGGGAGGGCCAGGGCUCUUUUUGAUUGGCUCCGGUGUCUGAACUGACGGCGUUACUGUGAGUUGGGAAGACUUCAUUGUCUGAGGUUCUUCAUUGGGUGAUAUAUCCACUCCACCACUAGGGUCAGAAUCUUGUUCUUGAGCCAUGGGCUCGGAAACUUUCUGCGUCUCUUCUUCUAUGGUGGUGGUGGCGACCUCUGGGUGGUCAGUCACAGAGGGUUCAACUUUGACCUCUAGGGGGGUCAUGGGUGUUGUAAUCUGAGAGGAAGAAGACUCCUCCUCAUCCUCAGCCCCCUCAGGGAUACUGCUUUGUUGAACGUCAGAUGCAAUCAUUUCAGAACCCUCUUCCUCCUUCUCCUCUACCUCAUCCUCUUCACCUUUCUUCCUUCUCCCACUAGCCUCCUCUGUACCCUCCUGCACGGCUGUCUGAGUGGGCUUCUUGUCUUUGGAUGGUGGGGUGGGCGGCCUGUGUUCCUGGCUGGUUUGGGAGGCCUCGGCCAUGUUGUCUGUGGAGCCGCCGAUGGGUUUUCCGGGAGGGGUGGGCGGUGGUGCUGACUCGACCCCAGCCUCGAAGCACUGCUCUGGGCUGCCCUCGGGGCUGGUGUUCCUGGGGGGUUGGUCUCCGGCUGGAGCAGCGGGCUUGGCCUCUUUGGAGGGUGGCAUGGGCAUCUUCAGGACC